UGUCAGCUGCCAGUGAGUCCUAUCCAGCAGGGCACACACUUGCUGAAAAAGGACCUGCCCUGACAGCCAUGAUGCAUUUAUCUUGCUCCUCAGCCAAGACCAUUAAAUAGUAUGGAGCCAACCUUGACCUUGUAUUUAUUACGUGGGACUCUUGACAGGUUCCUGCUUGAAACAUGCCACUGCUACCAUUGAGAAACAAAACAAAGGUCCCUCUCCAUCCUUUGCCACAAUGCUCUUUUCUAUAUUUUGCUUUCAUUGAGCUUUUCAGAAUGGACUUGUGCUCAGUGCUUCAUCUUUCUCACAGAGGACGUCCUCAUUGUAGUUGGGUCAUGCAUGAAGUACCCCUUCUGGACUCUGGAACAGCAUCACUGUCUUGCAGGUAGGUGAUUAUUUAUAGUUUCCAUGAUUUUCUUCAUUAUUCAGAUCAAGGUGACCAGGAAUUGUGGUCUGUGCUUGACAGGUAAAGCUGGGCCCUAAGAACUGAAGUGACCUGUGAGUUCCCCUCAUUUAAGAGUGAAGCUGGUGAGUUAAGUGACUAUUGGUAAGGAGCAAAUGGGCACUCAAGGUGGAGAGUCAUGUGAGCCUGCUUAGAAAGAGAGGAGCAGGCUCUGGGGGAGCCACAAAGGGUGGGGGCAGUAGAUAGCAGAUUGGGGUAGCCUGGCAGGGCUGGACAUGCAGUGGUCAGAGAUCUGAAUGUCCUCCUGCUCCCUGAGGGUGAACCCAUGGGCCAAGCAUAUCUGUUCAGCCAGGGAAGUGUACAGAGUGGAUCUGGAAGAGCUCCUGGAAGAUUCCAGCACAACCAGUGAGGCUAACGCCAGACACCCUGCAUCCUGUCUCUCCUCACUUUGGCCAAUGGCUCUCAGGAGAGAACUGUGUAUAUCUAGCCUUGGGAGCUGACAGGCACAGGCCCACACCUCGUGGUUAUGUCGGGGACAGUAGAAGGACAUAGCUUUGGCAUCGUGCUGAAGAAUGAAAGAGAAAAUGUCUGAGAAGCUGGGUGAGUGCUCAACAAAUAGUGGACAUUCUUGUCACUGAGCCCAUGUUGACUUACAUAACUUACAAUAACAGCAGCCAAGGAGAUUUUCCAGGUUUGGUCUCAUCUCAUCUGGGAGCUACGGAUUUGCCAUGAAGUGCUUUUAGAGCUUUGUCUCAACAACUUUAGGCCUUGUGAUACAAAUUAUUAUUUGGACAAAUCUCACAGAUUUGGCAGCUGUACCAACCUUCUUCUGGGCAUACGGAGAGGCUCCAGACAUGCGGAAUAGAGAGGAUGGGAUAAAAUAAAAUGCAUGGAACACUGUGGAACGAGUGGGACUCUGCCAACCUUGGAAGUUCCAUCUUGAUGGUGCUCUGUGAUGGAGGGGGUCUCCUGUUGACACCUCACUACACCCACCUGCCUGCUGUUCACACUUAGCACUCUGGCUCCAUGCAUCCUUUGGGGAGAAUGUACUAUAGAAACAUGGCAAGAGAAGGUUGGGGCAGGCCAGCAAGAGAGGAAAAUCAGGGGCAUGUGCCUCUCAGAAGGCUGAGCAGGAUGACCUUGGAAGGAAAGGGGAGGAGAGAUGGGGAAGGUGGUUAGAGAAAGUAUUUUUUUGUUGUUGGGGAUGGGGGGGUUCCAUGUGUGAUGACACUGCAGAUGGGAACACAAUGGAUAGAACGUUUGAAUAGGUAAACGAGAGAAAGCAUCCAGCUUUAGCCAAUAACACCUUCCUGAGAGCUUCCAUUUUGGAAGAAUUUCCACCCCUUAAAAUCCUUCACAGGCACAGGAAGGGAUGUGAGUCUUCUGCACCUUCUGAAGAGAGCCAUCUGUAUCUGCGGGUACUUCUCUUGUCUUCAGUGACCUGGGAUAGCCAGAUUCACCAUCCACUUGUUUUAAUGUUCAUCAGUCCUGUGGGAUAUGAGGAUCCCUCUAGUGUUCGUUAUUUAAAUACUCCUUCUGUGUGAAUAGAGUAACAAGUGAAAAAGCACUAACGUAUACAUGUUACAAAGACAAUACCAGCAUGACAGCCUCUCAUGUCACAAAAAGGGGCAUCGCUGGCCCCAGAAGCCCUCCCUAGCCACAUCCCUCCCUAUUUUAUAGACAAACUGUGACUCAGAUAAUGUAGCCACCCAGGAUCGCACUGAAGGGGCUUCUGCACCAGCCCCUGCAGCUCCAUUCGGUUCUUCUGUUUCCUGAGUUUCCAUCUCACUCCUCAUCCAUUGGACUGCCGGAUCCUGCUCUGCUGUUUCACAGGAGCUGAUUUUUUUUUUUUUUCAGAAAAUUUGCAAUCCAAUGAAUGUAAUUUUGAUGGUGUAAAACAAGUUAUGGUAGGAAUACUUACACCAUGGAAACUGGCAAAGUGUUUUUUUAAUGUAUCAGAGCAUAAGUCUGUCCUCACCUCAUUCCUCCCUUGGAUUGCAUUAUUAGCAGGUCUUGGCUGUAGUCUCACAUUUAGAAUGAUCCUGGGGGCUUCUACAUCUCCUAGCACAUAUCCAAAAUAAGUAAAACAGAUAUUUGAAGGUGGGACCCAGGCACCAGAUCCCUUUUUAAAAAACCCCACCUAGGUGAUAAUAAUGUGCCACCAAUAUUGCAAACCAUUGCAUUAGAUGAAUGACUGCUAUUAAUUAGAAAAUGAGGAUAAGCUAAUAGCAGCUAUGUCCACUGUCCAGCUAUACACUGAGGGAAUAAAUAAAAGCAACCCCUCAUUAGCAACAAUGCAGAUCAGGAAACACCUGUGGGAACACUGAACUCAAAAAGUACUCUAAGAAUAAAAAAGGACAGGACAAAAUACAAGAGGAACAUGGGAAAAAAGGUAGUAGCUAUGAAGAAAGGAAAGAUAUGAUCUAAAACAGACAAAUAAUUUAAAAAUUAGAAAAAUUGGGGCUGGGGUUGUAGGUCAGUGGUGGAGUGCUUGCCUAGCACAUGUGAGGCACUGGAUUCAAUCCUGAGCACCACAUAAAAAUAAAAAAAUAAAGAUAUUGUGUCCAUCUACAACUAAAGAAUAUUUUUAAAAAAUUUAUAAAAAACUUGAGCAGAAUAAAUCCAACAUAAUUAAAUAAAGUAUUCUGAGGCUAAAUGAUACAGAGAAAUUGAAUAAUUACCUCCCAGCUCCUCAGGGGGUUGAGACAGGAGCAACACUUAAGCCCAGGAGUUUGAGGCCAACCUGGGCAACAUAGCAAGACCCCAUCUCAAGGGAAAAACAAAAAACAUAAAAACCCAAGUUCCAAGUGAAAUAAAGAGCUCGGAAAUACAUUCUGAGAGCAUUUCUAAAUUUAAAUAGAAAUGAGUGGACAUCAUAGUCAUCUACCCUCCUCCAAGUAAAAAGAUUCAGGUUAGCUUUGCAAGUGUGAACAAUGUUUACUCUUACUACUUUAAGCCGCUGCUCUUAAGGUUGAUCGGUCUUACCUGAGAUUUUCUUUUUAAGACUUUUCAAAGCACCACUGAAGUAUUGUGAAUUCUGUUUUAUAUCUUUUCUUUUUCUUUCAACUUUAUAAUAUUCCUCCUUCCACUUUAUUUGUAUAUACUUUGCUGGGCUUUUUUUUUUUCUAUUUUCUUUGAAUGUUUGGUUUACACAUUUUCAGACUUUCUUUUCUAAUAAUUUAGCCCUAUAUUUCUCCAAAAAUCACUUUUGUUUACUGUAAACAAUAUAUCGAUUAUUAUUUGAAGUGUUUUCUAAUUUCCAAUUAAACUUCGUCUGAACUUUCAGUUUAAAGGAGCAUUUUAAAUUCUCUAAUGCAUGCAUUUUAAAGUGUCUUUUUGUUAUUGACUUUCAACAAUUGCACUGUGGUCAGAAAAUAUGCUCUUUUUGAUAUUGAUUCAUCAAAAUAAACUAAGACUUGAUUAAUAUCCAAGAACAUGAGUACUUUCUGGCAAUGUUCUGUAUUCUUAUAUGUGUAUGAAAGACCCGCCGAUUCCCUGUCCAAGAAAGACGCACGAGGCAC
rnacentral:lncRNA from 1 species